rnacentral:rRNA from 1 species
CCUACGGGCGGUAGCAGUGAGGAAUAUUGGUCAAUGGGCGUAAGCCUGAACCAGCCAAGUCGCGUGAGGGAUGACGGCUCUAUGGGUUGUAAACUUCUUUUAUAAGGGAAUAAAGUGCGGGACGUGUCCCGUUUUGUAUGUACUUUAUGAAUAAGGAUCGGCUAACUCCGUGCCAGCAGCCGCGGUAAUACGGAGGAUCCGAGCGUUAUCCGGAUUUAUUGGGUUUAAAGGGUGCGUAGGCGGCCUUUUAAGUCAGUGGUGAAAGUCUGUGGCUCAACCAUAGAAUUGCCGUUGAUACUGGGAGACUUGAGUAUGUUUGAGGCAGGCGGAAUGCGUGGUGUAGCGGUGAAAUGCUUAGAUAUCACGCAGAACCCCGAUUGCGAAGGCAGCCUGCCAAGCCGUGACUGACGCUGAUGCACGAAAGCGUGGGGAUCAAACAGGAUUAGAUACCCUUGUAGUC